AGUGUUGUGUUCCUGCCAGUAAGUAAGAUUGCCAGAGCUCAACGAGGGUGCGUGAGCUAAGGUCGGCAACGCGCAUGUAGCACCUCUGGAGUUGCAGGCGUCCAUAGGCUACGGUGACUGCUUACCAUCAGGCGGCCCGUAUGCUUGUUUGCCACCUAUGUGGUAUAAAA